AUUGAACGCUGGCGGCAGGCUUAACACAUGCAAGUCGAGCGGGGUGAUGGUGCUUGCACUAUCACUUAGCGGCGGACGGGUGAGUAAUGCUUAGGAAUCUGCCUAUUAGUGGGGGACAACAUCUCGAAAGGGAUGCAAUACCGCAUACGUCCUACGGGAGAAAGCAGGGGAUCACUUGUGACCUUGCGCUAAUAGAUGAGCCUAGGUCGGAUUAGCUAGUUGGUGGGGUAAAGGCCUACCAAGGCGACGAUCUGUAGCGGGUCUGAGAGGAUGAUCCGCCACACUGGGACUGAGACACGGCCCAGAGUCCUAUGGGAGGCAGCAGUGGGGAAUAUUGGACAAUGGGGGGAACCCUGAUCCAGCCAUGCCGCGUGUGUGAAGAAGGCCUUAUGGUUGUAAAGCACUUUAAGCGAGGAGGAGGCUCUUUUGGUUAAUACCCAAGAUGAGUGGACGUUACUCGCAGAAUAAGCACCGGCUAACUCUGUGCCAGCCGCCGCAGUAA
rnacentral:rRNA from 1 species